UGUAUAAUGGGUCAGCGACUUAUAUUCUGUAGCAAGGUUAACCGAAUAGGGGAGCCGAAGGGAAACCGAGUCUUAACUGGGCGUUAAGUUGCAGGGUAUAGACCCGAAACCCGGUGAUCUAGCCAUGGGCAGGUUGAAGGUUGGGUAACACUAACUGGAGGACCGAACCGACUAAUGUUGAAAAAUUAGCGGAUGACUUGUGGCUGGGGGUGAAAGGCCAAUCAAACCGGGAGAUAGCUGGUUCUCCCCGAAAGCUAUUUAGGUAGCGCCUCGUGAAUUCAUCUCCGGGGGUAGAGCACUGUUUCGGCAAGGGGGUCAUCCCGACUUACCAACCCGAUGCAAACUGCGAAUACCGGAGAAUGUUAUCACGGGAGACACACGGCGGGUGCUAACGUCCGUCGUGAAGAGGGAAACAACCCAGACCGCCAGCUAAGGUCCCAAAGUCAUGGUUAAGUGGGAAACGAUGUGGGAAGGCCCAGACAGCCAGGAUGUUGGCUUAGAAGCAGCCAUCAUUUAAAGAAAGCGUAAUAGCUCACUGGUCGAGUCGGCCUGCGCGGAAGAUGUAACGGGGCUAAACCAUGCACCGAAGCUGCGGCAGCGACGCUUAUGCGUUGUUGGGUAGGGGAGCGUUCUGUAAGCCUGCGAAGGUGUGCUGUGAGGCAUGCUGGAGGUAUCAGAAGUGCGAAUGCUGACAUAAGUAACGAUAAAGCGGGUGAAAAGCCCGCUCGCCGGAAGACCAAGGGUUCCUGUCCAACGUUAAUCGGGGCAGGGUGAGUCGACCCCUAAGGCGAGGCCGAAAGGCGUAGUCGAUGGGAAACAGGUUAAUAUUCCUGUACUUGGUGUUACUGCGAAGGGGGGACGGAGAAGGCUAUGUUGGCCGGGCGACGGUUGUCCCGGUUUAAGCGUGUAGGCUGGUUUUCCAGGCAAAUCCGGAAAAUCAAGGCUGAGGCGUGAUGACGAGGCACUACGGUGCUGAAGC
rnacentral:rRNA from 1 species